GACGAACGCUGGCGGCGUGCUUAACACAUGCAAGUCGAACGGAAAGGCCCUGCUUUUGUGGGGUGCUCGAGUGGCGAACGGGUGAGUAACACGUGAGUAACCUGCCCUUGACUUUGGGAUAACUUCAGGAAACUGGGGCUAAUACCGGAUAGGAGCUCCUGCUGCAUGGUGGGGGUUGGAAAGUUUCGGCGGUUGGGGAUGGACUCGCGGCUUAUCAGCUUGUUGGUGGGGUAGUGGCUUACCAAGGCUGACGGGUAGCCGGCCUGAGAGGGUGACCGGCCACAUUGGGACUGAGAUACGGCCCAGACUCCUACGGGAGGCAGCAGUGGGGAAUAUUGCACAAUGGGCGGAAGCCUGAUGCAGCAACGCCGCGUGCGGGAUGACGGCCUUCGGGUUGUAAACCGCUUUCGCCUGUGACGAAGCGUGAGUGACGGUAAUGGGUAAAGAAGCACCGGCUAACUACGUG
rnacentral:rRNA from 1 species